GGCGAGUUCAAACCCAGCCCUGGCCAAAAACCAAAAAAAAAAAAAAAAAAAAUGGACCCCAAGUGACAGUUUUCCUUGACAGACAUCAUUCUGUUUGCUGUAAGUGAUCUGUUACAACAUUUCGGGAAAAUACAGUU